rnacentral:rRNA from 1 species
GAGUGUAGGAGUGAAAGGCCAAUCAAACUUGGAGAUAGCUCGUACUCCCCGAAAGGCAUUUAGGUGCCGCGUCGGAUGGUCACCGUGAGAGGUAGAGCGACCGAUAGGACAAGAGGGCUUCACCGCCUAUCGAGUCCUGACGAACUCCGAAUGCUCACGGUCUGCAGUCCGGCAGUAAGGGGGCGGGUGCUAAGGUCCGUCCCCGAGAGGAGAAGAAUCCAGACCGCCGUCUAAGGUCCCGGAGUUCUGCCUGAGUUAGUCUAACGAAGUCUGGUCCCUAUGACAGCUAGGAUGUUGGCUUGGAAGCAGCCAUUCAUUCAAAGAGUGCGUAACAGCUCACUAGUCGAGGGUCCGGGCAUGGAUAAUAAUCGGGUAUAAGGCAGACACCGAAGGCGCGGGAUAGCAUUUAAGAAAGUAUCGGUAGGGGAGCAUACUCACAGCGUCGAAUGGUGUACGUAAGUUAUCCUGGAGCGGUGAGUAAAGCAAAUGUAGGAAUAAGUAACGAUAAGGAGGGUUAGAUUCCCUCCCGCUGUAAGACCAAGGUUUCCCGGGCAAUGCCAAUCAGCCCGGGGUCAGUCGGGUCCUAAGUCUAAGCCGAACGGCGAUGGCGAUGGCAGAGACGGUUAAUAUUCCGUCACUGCCGCAUGGGGCGACGUGGAGACGGAGCAGUGAAACCACCGCGGGGCGACGGAAGUCCCCGUUGAAGAGUGUAGGUGUUGAGGAUGGCAGGCAAAUCCACCGUCCGAGCUGAACUUGAUAGUAUGGAGUCUUCUUCGGAAGAAUCCAAUAGUGUGGGUAAUCAUACUCCCGAGAAAAUCCGCUAAGCUUAACCCAUGCGGCACCCGUACCGCAAACGGACACACGUGGUCGGGUAGAACAUACUAAGGCGUUGAGAGAUUCAUGGUUAAGGAACUAGGCAAAUUGACCCUGUAACUUCGGGAUAAAGGGUCCUCGUGAUGAGCGAGGCGCAGAGAAUAGGUCCAGGCAACUGUUUAACAAAAACACAGGGCUGUGCAAACUCGAAAGAUGACGUAUACAGCCUGACACCUGCCCGGUGCCGGAAGGUUAAGAGGAGAUGUCACUCGCAAGAGGAAGCAUUGAAUUGAAGCCCCGGUAAACGGCGGCCGUAACUAUAACGGUCCUAAGGUAGCGAAAUUCCUUGUCGGGUAAGUUCCGACCUGCACGAAUGGUGUAAUGAUCUGGACACUGUCUCAACCGUGAGCUCAGUGAAAUUGUAGUAUCGGUGAAGAUGCCGAUUACCCGCGAUGGGACGAAAAGACCCCGUGAACCUUUACUACAGCUUAGCAUUGACCUUGGUCAUCCGAUGUGUAGGAUAGGCCGGAGGCUUCGAAGCGGGAGCGCCAGCUUUCGUGGAGCCAUCCUUGAAAUACGGCCCUUUGGCUGUCUGAGGUCUAACGCGUGAUACGCGGACACUGCUUGGUGGGUAGUUUGACUGGGGUGGUCGCCUCCAAAAGCGUAACGGAGGCUUC